UGCAAGUCGAACGGAAACGAUGGGAGCUUGCUCCCAGGCGUCGAGUGGCGGACGGGUGAGUAAUGCUUGGGAAUCUGCCCAGUAGUGGGGGACAACUUCCGGAAACGGGAGCUAAUACCGCAUACGUCCUACGGGAGAAAGUGGGGGAUCUUCGGACCUCACGCUAUUGGAUGAGCCCAAGUCGGAUUAGCUUGUUGGUGGGGUAAAGGCCUACCAAGGCGACGAUCCGUAGCUGGUCUGAGAGGACGAUCAGCCACACUGGGACUGAGACACGGCCCAGACUCCUACGGGAGGCAGCAGUGGGGAAUAUUGCACAAUGGGCGCAAGCCUGAUGCAGCAAUGCCGCGUGUGUGAAGAAGGCCUGCGGGUUGUAAAGCACUUUCAGUGGAGAGGAAAAGCUCAGGGUUAAUAACCCUGGGUCUUGACGUAACCUACAGAAGAAGCACCGGCUAACUCCGUGCCAGCAGCCGCGGUAAUACGGAGGGUGCGAGCGUUAAUCGGAAUUACUGGGCGUAAAGCGCGCGUAGGCGACCAAGUCAGUCGAAUGUGAAAGCCCCGGGCUUAACCUGGGAAUUGCAUCCGAAACUGCUUGGCUAGAGUAUGGGAGAGGGAAGUGGAAUUUCCGGUGUAGCGGUGAAAUGCGUAGAUAUCGGAAGGAACACCAGUGGCGAAGGCGACUUCCUGGCCCAAAACUGACGCUGAGGUGCGAAAGCGUGGGUAGCGAACAAGAUUAGGUACCCUGGUAGUCCACGCCGUAAACGAUGAGAACUAGAUGUCGGGAGGA
rnacentral:rRNA from 1 species